GAGAGGCGCGGGCCGGAACCUGGGCUGCCUGCGGGGCUCGCCGGUCCAGCGCGACUUCCGGGUGGGCGCGGGCUCGGCGCGACUUCCGGGUGGGCGCGGGCUCGGCGCAACUUCCGGGUGGGCGCGGGCUCGGCGCGCCCCGCACUCUUGAGCGGUCGGCUGGCGCCGCCGGCCCUGGGCAGUGAGAGGCUUAGCACCCGGGCCAGCAGCUGCGGAGGGUGCACUGGGUCCUCCAACAGUGAUGGCCCGCCGGCGCCGCGCUCGAAUUUUCGCUGGGCCUCAGCCACCUCCCCGCGGGGCAAGGGGGCAGGGCUCGGGACCUGCAGCCUGCCAUACUGGAGCCCUCACCCUCCUCCCCGCCCCCGUCCCCUGCCCCCCGC
rnacentral:lncRNA from 1 species